AGUAGGUUGGGUCAAGACGUGUGUGCACACAUCAUUUGACUAUAAAUCAAAUCUAACAGGGAGAGACCAACCCUCUGCUCUGAACAUCAGUGGUGGGAACUCAGAAUCUUAAUGAAGGAGACUCUGUGGACAUUCCUGUGGGAAUCCUCUGCUAUGAGGACACCAGCCCAGCAAGCCCAGCAAGCCCAGCAUCGCCACAACUAAACCCAUCAAGAGUGGGGAUCAUCCUGAGGGCAGCCUUCUAAUGGAAGCACUCACCAACCUACCUCAGGCAAUGUGCCUCUUGCUUGGCUUUACCUACCCACUCUACCUGCAGUACCUGAAAUGCUUAAAAAACAGGUAAUGCUAAAUUUGGGUGAAAGUGAACUACCUCCCAAAGAUCAAAAGCUCAAGAAUGAUCUUGCUGAUUGUUAAUACAUAUUUGUUGCUUUGUUGUGUUUAAAUAAAAUAAAGAAAAUGUA